UUCGUUAUCCCCCGCACUCGACCGCUCAGUCCAUCCCUUCUUCUAGUCCACACAGCUAUUGGUGUGAUGCUGAUGUGAGAGCAUCGCUCGCCCCUUUUUGUAUUCAGUCUGUAGCCUCUACCGCGCACUCGCUUUCUGUCUUGCUCUGUCUCAACCUCCUCGAGUUUCUCUCGCUCUCGGCUUUUUCCAUACAUGUCCACCAGAAAUUGACGAAAGGGUUCAAUCAAUUUUUAUUUUACCAGGUGGGGAAAUGAAUGCGUUACCCCUACUAUUUCCAUUGCCCGCCGAUGAACGAAACUGCCCGGUUCUAGGAUUGUUACAGUUUACGGAAAUGGAUGCGCACGUUGUUGGCUCCGACAAUAGAUUUCAAGCGGAUUCGAAGAUCUUCUAACAAUUGUGAGAAGCCAAGUCAACUCACCUUUCAUCGUCCUUCUUGGUGUUGGAAGAAGGACGCUACCCCUACCAGUGUUUAUCGUUCCUGCUGGACGCGGGACUUGGUGCCGACUAAAGGCCCCCGCCUCAUCGGUCCCCCUUUCCAUCCCCGGUCAAAAUUAGGGAAUAACCCCUGAUAUGUGCGAUCGCUUGCGGGUCUAAACGUAUCAGACGCCCGCAACAGGAGACCCCCCUUGGCCACUGCAAGUACAUGACCCGGUGAGACCACCUGUUUCUCACGAAGGAGUACUUCUGUAAAAAAAACACCGGAGGUGCUGACUCUCGAGUGGUGUCUCCCGUCGACCCGCCGGCAGCCAUGAUGUGCCCACGCUUCCUCUCCAUCCUCUCCCCGCGUUCUCCUCGCCCCUCCGCCUUCCUCCUCCUCCUCUUCCUCUACUUCCUGGGCCUCACGCAGGCCGG